ACUAGGUGUGGUGGCACAUGCCUGUAAUCCCAGCAACAGGGGAGGAUGAGGCAGGAGGAUCACAAGUUUAGGACAGCCUCUGAAACUUAGUGAGAUACUGUUUCAA
rnacentral:sRNA from 1 species